rnacentral:rRNA from 1 species
AGAGUUUGAUCCUGGCUCAGGAUGAACGCUAGCGGCAGGCCUAACACAUGCAAGCCGAACGGUAAGGCUCAGCUUGCUGAGUACACGAGUGGCGCACGGGUGAGUAACACGUAUGCAACCUACCUUCAACUGGAAGAUAGCCCCGAGAAAUUGGGAUUAAUACUCCAUAAUAUACAGAAUUCGCAUGUUUUUUGUAUUAAAACUCCGGUGGUUGAAGAUGGGCAUGCGCGACAUUAGUUUGUUGGUGAGGUAACGGCUCACCAAGACUGCGAUGUCUAGGGGCUCUGAGAGGAUUAUCCCCCACACUGGUACUGAGACACGGACCAGACUCCUACGGGAGGCAGCAGUGAGGAAUAUUGGGCAAUGGGUGCAAGCCUGACCCAGCCAUGCCGCGUGCAGGAUUGACGGCCCUAUGGGUUGUAAACUGCUUUUAUAAGGGAAGAAACCUGGAUACGUGUAUCCAGCUGACGGUACCUUGUGAAUAAGCAUCGGCUAACUCCGUGCCAGCAGCCGCGGUAAUACGGAGGAUGCAAGCGUUAUCCGGAUUUAUUGGGUUUAAAGGGUGCGUAGGCGGAAUGAUAAGUCAGUGGUGAAAUCCUACAGCUUAACUGUAGAACUGCCAUUGAUACUGCCAUUCUUGAGUACAGUUGAAGUGGAUGGAAUGUGUCAUGUAGCGGUGAAAUGCUUAGAUAUGACACAGAACACCGAUAGCGAAGGCAGUUCACUAAACUGUAACUGACGCUGAGGCACGAAAGCGUGGGGAGCAAACAGGAUUAGAUACCCUGGUAGUCCACGCCGUAAACGAUGAUAACUCGAUGUGUGCGAUAUACAGUACGCGUCCGAGCGAAAGUGUUAAGUUAUCCACCUGGGAAGUACGUCCGCAAGGAUGAAACUCAAAGGAAUUGACGGGGGCCCGCACAAGCGGAGGAGCAUGUGGUUUAAUUCGAUGAUACGCGAGGAACCUUACCUGGGCUUAAAUGCAGAACGACGUACUGGGAAACCAGUAUUUCUUCGGACGGACUGCAAGGUGCUGCAUGGUUGUCGUCAGCUCGUGCCGUGAGGUGUCGGGUUAAGUCCCAUAACGAGCGCAACCCCUAUUCUUAGUUGCCAGCACAUAAUGGUGGGGACUCUAAGAAAACUGCCUACGCAAGUAGUGAGGAAGGUGGGGAUGACGUCAAAUCAGCACGGCCCUUAUGUCCAGGGCUACACACGUGCUACAAUUGUUGGUACAGAGGGUCGCUACCUGGUGACAGGAUGCUAAUCUCUAAAACCAAUCUCAGUUCGGAUUGAAGUCUGCAACUCGACUUCAUGAAGUUGGAUUCGCUAGUAAUCGCGUAUCAGCAAUGACGCGGUGAAUACGUUCCCGGGCCUUGUACACGCCACC